AUGGCCGACGCGGGUCAAAGUGUACUAUCUGUUUUUAUCAACUUAAUAUCUGAUACGAGUUGUAUUUGGACCCAAGAUGUUGAACUUACUUUUGCAAGUUGGCGUAGUACUUCUAGCCUCUUUCACCUCCACCGCGGGUCGACCCGGUAUUUCACAACCUGCGGGAUUUUUGGUCCACGGAUA